UUCCGGUUGAUCCUGCCGGACCUGACUGCUAUCGGAUUGAUACUAAGCCAUGCGAGUCUUUGUAGUAAUACAAGGCAGACGGCUCAGUAACACGUAGUCAACCUACCCUAUGGACGAGGAUAAUCUCGGGAAACUGAGGAUAAUACUCGAUAGGUCAUAAUGCCUGGAAUGGUUUAUGGUUAAAAUGAUUCGUCGCCAUAGGAUGGGACUGCGGCCUAUCAGCUUGUUGGUGAGGUAAUGGCCCACCAAGGCGAUUACAGGUACGGGCUCUGAGAGGAGAAGCCCGGAGAUGGGUACUGAGACAAGGACCCAGGCCCUAUGGGGCGCAGCAGGCGAGAAAACUUUGCAAUGUGCGAAAGCACGACAAGGUUAAUCCGAGUGAUUUCUGCUAAAGAGAUCUUUUACCAGUCAUAAAACCACUGGUGAAUAAGGGGUGGGCAAGUUCUGGUGUCAGCCGCCGCGGUAAAACCAGCACCUCAAGUGGUCAGGAUGAUUAUUGGGCCUAAAGCAUCCGUAGCCGGCUCUGUAAGUUUUCGGUUAAAUCCAUGUGCUCAACGCAUGGGCUGCCGAAAAUACUGCAUAGCUAGGGAGUGGGAGAGGUAGACGGUACUCAGUAGGAAGGGGUAAAAUCCUUUGAUCUAUUGAUGACCACCUGUGGCGAAGGCGGUCUACCAGAACACGUUCGACGGUGAGGGAUGAAAGCUGGGGGAGCAAACCGGAUUAGAUACCCGGGUAGUCCCAGCUGUAAACGAUGCAGACUCGAUGAUGCAUUGGCAUAUAGCCAGUGCAGUGUCGCAGGGAAGCCGUUAAGUCUGCCGCCUGGGAAGUACGUACGCAAGUAUGAAACUUAAAGGAAUUGGCGGGGGAGCACCACAAGGGGUGAAGCCUGCGGUUCAAUUGGAGUCAACGCCGGG
rnacentral:rRNA from 1 species